AGUAAGCCAAGCAAUCGCUGCUGAGAAUUUUCUCAGGAGAGGAAAGUCCGAGCUCCAUAGGGCAGGGUGCUGGGUAACUCCCAGUGGAGGCGACUCUAAGGAAAGUGCAACAGAGAUAUACCGCCAGAAUCAUCUUUUGAUGAUUAGUUAGCUUUAAGCUACUGGUAAGGGUGGAAAGGCGAGGUAAGAGCUCACCAGCGCAUUGGCGACUUUGCGGCUAUGUAAACCCCAUCUGGAGCAAGACCGAAUAGGAAGGCAAAAGGAGCUGCUCGUUCCGCCUUCGGGUGUGUCGCUGGAGCUCAUUGGUAACAAUGGGCCUAGAUAGAUGAUUGCUUAAUACAGAACUCGGCUUAUAGGUUUAU
rnacentral:RNase_P_RNA from 1 species